rnacentral:rRNA from 1 species
ACUCCUACGGGAGGCAGCAGUGGGAAUCUUAGACAAUGGGGAACCUGAUCUAGCCAUGCCGCGUGAGCGAUGAAGGCCUUAGGUUGUAAAGCUCUUUCAGCGGGAAGAUAAUACGGUACCCGCAGAAGAAGCCCCGCUAACUCCGUGCCAGCAGCCGCGGUAAUACGGAGGGGCUAGCGUUGUUCGGGAAUUACUGGGCGUAAAGCGCGCGUAGGCGGAUUGGAAAGUCAGAGGUGAAAUCCCGGGGCUCAA